GCCUGAGUGGCUCAGUCAGUUGGGCAUCUGACUUCGACUCAGGUCAAGAUCUUGUGCUCUGUGAGUUCGAGCCCUGCAUCGGGCU
rnacentral:tRNA from 1 species